rnacentral:lncRNA from 1 species
CAAGGAUCUGCAUGGAUGCCAUAUGGAGAAUGAAGAGGGCAGGUGGCCGGGUGCAGUGGCUCACGCCUGUAAUCCCAACACUUUGGGAGGCCGAGGCGAGUAGAUCACCUGAGGUAAGGAAUUUGAGACCAGCCUGGCCAACAUGAUGAAACCCCAUCUCUACUAAAAAUACAAAAAUGAACUGAGCGUGAUGGCGCCCACCUGUAAUCCUA